rnacentral:lncRNA from 1 species
ACAACAUGAACUUGGAAGCAGAAUUUCAGGCCAAGAUGGAACCUCCCCGUCUCAGGAAGGCGAUUUCUGUUUAAUCCUUGGGAGGCUGCGCUGGCUGGGCCAGGCAGCACGCUCCUUUUCCGAUUAGGGAAAGGACUAAGCUGGGCCGGCAGUCUGCGACCCCUUCCCGGAACCCCAGCCGACUUCGGGGUAUACCUGAGCGCCUUCCGAUGGCUGCUCGCGGGGGUGUGAUCAUCGUCCCCGCAUCAGGCCCGCCAGGCAUCUGCGCGACUCGGGGGUAGGAGGGAGAUGCGUGGGUGGGAGGUGGGGGUCAAACCAAACACCGACAGGGCACACCUACGUUUAUGAUCCUUAAAUGAACUGCGAGGGAAAUUGUGUAAGUAUAAUUUAACUGAGAGAAAUUUAUUGCGAAAUACGCUUAGAGGACUGUGGUCUUUAACAGCCUCAGGGGUUCUUCGGCAAAGAGGUAACGGGGCUUGGAUUUACCACAACUCUGCGGCCACGUUUUCAAAUUUGGAAAAGAUGAGAAAAGAAGGUUCAGGCGAUUUAUGCGAGAAAGGGCCAAUUUGAACACUGGUAACUAGUGGGAGAAAUAAACUUAUAAGCCACAAACACAUCGGUUCGCAACCGAGCCCACAGCCCCGCGAGGCGCCCCUUCUUCCCAGCUCCCGGAGGAUAACUUCAUUGACUGGCAGGUCGGCGGCCACUUCUGGGAGGGCCACUGUUUACCGAAUGAGAACCUCUCAUGGCACAGUCCUUACAGCAGGGCUGCCCUGUCGCCCUUGCGCGUCCGGGUGCCGGGUCCCGGCGGUGUUCUGCAGCGCGAUCCGGUCCCCGUGCCCUGAGCCACCCAGAGCCCUGGGCCUGCCUGCACCCUGGGGCGCGCUGACUCCCUGGGUCGGGUGGGGGUCCCGGCAGGAUGCACUUCCAGCUGCGGGGUCCGCGGAGUUUGCUCGCACCUGGUUUGGCGCAGGGACGUAGGUUUGGGGGACUGUGUCCCCUGGGAAGAGCAAAAGGUGAAAAGGUCCCCUCUCCCACCAGUGUGCCCCAUCCCCGCCAGUUUUGACUGCGAUCCUAUUUUUCUCUUUGGGGGUCGCCUCAGCCUGUGCCGGAGGGAGUUGGGAGUUGGUCAGGCUUGGGCAGCGGUGGGUGGCAGCCCGGGAGCCGGAGCAGGAGCGCGAGGACCCGCGGACUGGGGCGCAGCGACGAUGGCGCACCGGCUUCUGUCUUCUGCUGCUUUGGGGCUGAGCAUCCGAGGGCGCCUUUCUCCCCAGCUGGACUCGGGGACGCCGGAUCACCCCGCCACCUGCCUCUUGGCCUAAUUCUGGAAGCUUCUCGCCUCCGUUCCUGGACGGCUCUUCCUCAGGGGCAGCAAUGAGCCCCGGGGUGCGCUCAUCUCCUCCGAGAUCAAUUGCUCUACGAUUCCUUUUAGGACUUGCAGGGGGGAGAGGUUGGGGACCCCGGCCCCAGAGUGGCUCCUGCGGCACGGCGGCCCACUCGGAGGGGUCGCAACAAGCGCGCAUUUGUGGCCAAGGUUGUGAUUUCAGGUGCGCUAAUGGGAUCAGACGUCCUGGGAGAAGCGUGAGGGGAUUGGUGCCGUUCCUUCUCCCGGCUUCCAGCGGCCGCCGGGUGGAAGUGGGGACACAGGAGGGCCGCGCUACGGGCGCCCAGCGCGGGCGCUCACACCUCUUGAGGAGGCGUGGAACCCAGCGCCCCAGGUGGGGGUAGGGCGCGGGGGUAUAGGUAGUGAGGGGUGACGCUGGGAGAGGACCGGGAGACGGAGGAAAGGAGACAGCCGGGGACACUACUGAGAGAGGGAGUAAGAGAGUGCGCUGCAGAACCGGGGACAGAGCGGCAGAACCGACCGAGAGCUGGAAUUGGAUUGCGUCCUGUCCCAGCACCAGGACACAGAUAAACAGCCUCCCAGCACUGGUACUCGCCAGAGAAGGGGAAACCCGCGUCCCGCGCUGCUGCUUUCUGCUUCGGAGAACCUUAUCUAGACUUUUGCAUAAUUGCGUGUUGGCUUUCCUAAAUAAUUCGGAAGAGCGAUUUCUGCUUCCACUUGUUCACAUAGGCAAACAAUCCCUGUGGGGAAAAUGUGUGUGUGUGUGUGUGUGUGUGCGCGCGCGCGCGCGCGCGUUCCGGUGACAAUUGAGGCCAGAGGCAAACACAUCCUCUUUCAAAAUGUCCCUUAGGUGAUCCCGUAAAUGACUGUCCUGCUCUAGGCAGUGGGAGUCAUCAUCCACUGGGUAGGGGGCUGUGAUUACUCUGCCUAGGGACCACUUUUCACAGCUCCUUCCCCACCGUAGAUAAGGGUGUUAAAUCAAGGCAUUUAGUUCUACUUUUCCAUUGCACAGAUAAGCAAGCUGAGACCCAGAUAGGUUAAGUGAAGUAUCCAAUUUCUUCUCUCCUUUUCUUUUCUGUAUGCCUCAAGAUGGUUUUAUACACACACACACACACACACAUACAUACACACACACACACACCCUGAACUACGAAAAACAUCACAACUACGGAAGAAACAUUUUUUACUCUUCUUAUUUCCUAAGAAGACCAAAAGUCAGAGCUUGUCUUCUGUCAGAAGCAGAUGGGUGUGUGAUGGCAGUGUGUGAGUGUGCAAGUGUGGGGGGGCUGGGCGUUGGCGCCAUCCUUCCUCCUUCCCUGCUCCAUCCCUGACUCCAUCACCGAGCCCCUUCAGGGAAACACAAGGCAGGAGGUUGUACCGCUAUGCAGAAGACCCCUCCAGGUAGGGAGCUUGAAGAAAUGAAACAGCAGGGAGAACCUGUAUUUGGUGGUGAAAGUGCUGGAAUCUUCUAGGCCUUGCUCAUCUCCAACCAGCUACUUCUCCAAAAUAAAGCAAAACAAAACAAAACAAAACAAGGCAAACAACAACCACCACAGGCCUUUUGCAUCAACUUCCUGUGACUAAGUGACCCUAAGCAGAGAACUGGCUCAGGUCACUUAGGGCAGGGGUAGGACAUUGAAGGCCUUAUUUACUCCAGGAUUAAAAACAGCAUCCCCUCUAACCCUGUCUCUCUUGGGCAGCCUGUCUUUUAAGGAUGUGAAAAGCAGCUUCUUGGAGUCUAAACAGGCACAAUACCCCACUGGGAUGUUUAGGUAUCAGGUUCACAAAAACAGCAUUUUACUCCUGCUUCCCCGAACCCCUUUGCAACCCAGGCUACCAUACUCUUUGCAAGAAUAUCCGGUAUCUUUUCCGGGCAAAAUGAAUUGAGUUGGCACUUCCUGAAAUAUUUUUAUUUUUAGCUUCAAAUAAUUUUGCUCCUAAAACAAAUUAGUUACUUAUCCUCUUCUCACCAUGCCCUAAUUAUUUUUAGCUUUAUUCUAAUUUUUUUUGUUACCUU